UGUGCUGAAGGGGUUGUGGUAGGUUGGUUCCUUCUCUUUAUCUUGUUGCUGCAGGUCUCUAUCUUCUUUUAUGGUUGUAGCGUUCUCAUAUGUUUCCUUUGUACUUUAUCUUAUAUUAAUUCAACAAACAAAAUUCACAAAUAAAAAGAGUAAAGGUAAUUGAUAACUUUUGGGUCCCUGAUGCGUAUACGUUAGAAAAGGCAACAAAUAGGGUUUGUGCUGCUCAUG